rnacentral:rRNA from 1 species
GACGAACGCUGGCGGCGUGCUUAAUACAUGCAAGUCGAACGGAAAGGCCCUGCUUUUGUGGGGUGCUCGAGUGGCGAACGGGUGAGUAACACGUGAGUAACCUGCCCUUGACUUUGGGAUAACUUCAGGAAACUGGGGCUAAUACCGCAUAAGAGCUCCUGCUGCAUGGUGGGGGUUGGAAAGUGUCGGCGGUUGGGGAUGGACUCGAGGCUUAUUAGCUUUUUGGUGGUGUAGUGGCAUCCCAAGGCUAUGGCGGGUAGCCGGCCUGGGAGGGGGACCGGCCACAUUGGGACUGAGGUAGGGGCCAGACGGCUACGGGGGGCAGCAGUGGGAAAUAUUGCGCAAUAGGCCGAAGGCUGAUGCAACGACGUCGGGUGCGGGAUGACGGCCUUCGGGUUGUAAACCGCUUUCGCCUGUAAAGAAGCGUGAGUGACGGUAAUGGAUCAGAAAGCAACGGCUAACUACGUG